GUGCAGCAGUCGCGAAAACUCUGCAAUACGCGAAAGCGUGACAGGGCUACCCCGAGUGUCGUCCGCUGAGGACGACUUUUCCACGCUGUAAGGAGGCGUGGGAAUAAGGGGAGGGCAAGUCUGGUGUCAGCCGCCGCGGUAAUACCAGCUCCCCGAGUGGUUGGGACGAUUAUUGGGUCUGAAGCGCCCGUAGCUGGCCUUUCAAGUCUCUUGUUAAAUCCAGCGAUUCAAUCGUUGGACUGCGGGAGAUACUGUUAGGCUAGGGGGCGGGAGAAGCCGACGGUAUUUCCGGGGUAGGGGUAAAAUCCUAUAAUCCCGGGAAGACCACCAGUGGCGUAGGCGGUCGGCUAGCACGCGCUCGACAGUGAGGGACGAAAGCUGGGGUAGCGAACCGGAUUAGAUACCCGUGUAGUCC
rnacentral:rRNA from 1 species